UGGGGAAUAUUGCACAAUGGGCGAAAGCCUGAUGCAGCGACGCCGCGUGAGGGAUGACGGCCUUCGGGUUGUAAACCUCUUUCAGUAGGGACGAAGCGCAAGUGACGGUACCUGCAGAAGAAGCACCGGCUAACUACGUGCCAGCAGCCGCGGUAAUACGUAGGGUGCGAGCGUUGUCCGGAAUUACUGGGCGUAAAGAGCUCGUAGGCGGUUUGUCACGUCGUCUGUGAAAUCCUAGGGCUUAACACUGGACGUGCAGGCGAUACGGGCUGACUUGAGUACUACAGGGGAGACUGGAAUUUCUGGUGUAGCGGUGGAAUGCACAGAUAUCAGGAAGAACACCGAUGGCGAAGGCAGGUCUCUGGGUAGUAACUGACGCUGAGGAGCGAAAGCAUGGGUAGCGAACAGG
rnacentral:rRNA from 1 species